ensembl:lncRNA
GGUGGUGGUAGAUGGGGGAGCAGGAGGAAGAGUGUGGAGGAGGAGGUGGUGGUGGUAGAUGGGGGAGCAGGAGGAAGAGUGUGGAGGAGGAGGUGGUGGUGGUGGUAGAUGGGGGAGCAGGAGAACGAGUGUGGAGGAGGAGGUGGUGGUGGUAGAUGGGGAGCAGGAGGAAUAGUGUGGAGGAGGAAGUGGUGGUGGUGGUAGAUGGGGGAGCAGGAGAACGAGUGUGGAGGAGGAGGUGGUGGUGGUAGAUGGGGGAGCAGGAGGAAUAGUGUGGAGGAGGAAGUGGUGGUGGUGGUAGAUGGGGAGCAGGAGAACGAGUGUGGAGGAGGAGGUGGUGGUGGUAGAUGGGGGAGCAGGAGGAAUAGUGUGGAGGAGGAAGUGGUGGUAGAUGGGGAGCAGGAGGAAGAGUGUGGAGGUG